UCUACAAUGGAAAGCUAAACAAAUAUUUGAUUGUUACAGGUACUUUAAACUGUGAAUGGAUUUUUAUUAGAUCCAUAUAUAUAUUCUAGCGGAAAACGGUCUAUUUCUCCACGAUAAGUAUGACAUCAUAACAGAUAGAGCCCAGGCUUUAACCUCGUGCUAGAUAUGAUGUCAUAUUCUAGCUCUAUAUGUUAUGAUGUCAUAUUCUAGCCAU
rnacentral:sRNA from 1 species